rnacentral:lncRNA from 1 species
GAUGAUUUCAAGGAUGAUCCCAUCAGGAGAUGGCUGUGAUGAAUUCUACCUUCCUUCUGCUACCACCAGGGAAGGCAGAAUACGGAGUUACGGUCACCAUGGGUCUGUGUUCCUGACUUCACACAGCACGACAGAACGGACCACCAGCGCCCUUUCUCUUUUCAGAUCAUAG